GAAAACUACCAACUGCGCAAAGAGAAAGAGGAGUGUUUACCCACCAUUCUGAAGGGAAAUUUGCGCUUCCUACCUGGUAAUUCAAAUAGCAUCCUUAAAAGCAAAGCAAACAAAACAAAAAGUAUAAUUCAACGUACUGCGAGAGUAACACUGAGCCAGCCAACAACGUCACAAAGUACUAAUCUGGAUUAGUCUCAGCGUGUGAGUGUCCGGAUUCAGUCUGAAUGAAGGGAGCAGGGCGCCUUCUGCUUGAAGAGGUGUAAAUUCCUGGGAGUUCUUCUGAGCCUGCUUUGUGGGAGUCAGGGACAGGAACUGCUGCUAAAGGAAAACAUAGAUUAUAUGGAAAUCCAACAGCGUGGAGUGCUCAUAAAACAACCAAAAAUGACAGCCACGGCACCGAAAGAACGGUAUCAACUAUCUUCAUCAUCCCGGGGUGCAUAAAACCUGAAGACUCCCACUACAAUUUUUGCUAUUUAAAAAUCAACGAGCUUCCUUUUUAAUAUCCAGACUCAAUAAUAUUGCAUCAGAAUAACCUCAGUGAUGUCAUGUUUACAUACUUUCCAAAGUGAUUUGAAUAGUAGAAAACGUAGGCUUUGCACCCCACAUAGUGCAAAUGCUUUGAAAAACAUGAAAAAUGUUACCUAAAGGUAACGUUCAAGAACAAUUAUAUCACAUACUAGACCUAAGCUAUCCUGCAGAGAGAGUGAGAGUGAGGAUCUAUCAAUAAAUCCAAACUAAUGCUACUAAUACGUAUACUGUUAAAACAGAAAACAGUUUCUAUUCCUACAUUUGAACCAGCCAUAAAUUCUCUUGUUUCAAUUUCACUGUAAUACGUAAGCUUUUAGGAAACUUAUUCUUAAUAAAAAUAUAAAAUGUGUCAUGCCCUUAUCCAUUUGUUAUUAUCUGAGUCACAAGAAAAGUGUAAGGACAAAUUCUGCUCCCACUUACACCCAGAUAAGGGCCCGAUCGACCCUACUGAAGUCAAUGAAAGUUUUGCUAUUGACUUCAGCGAAAUCAGGAUCCGGAUUCCUAAAUCUGGUGUAAUUCCACUUAAUUUACACUAUGGAUUAACACCAAGGUAAUUGAGAGCAGAAUCUUCCCCAUAAAUAUCUCAAAACUACUCAUUAAAGUUUCUAGCUUAAACAGGACCUUUUACAUUUAUUUUUAAGAAUCAUUAGUGGUAUAUUUCCAUGUUAUUUUACAUUAAAGUCGUCUCCCUUUGCUCGCCUCCAGAUUCUACAAACUCUUACUCACGUGAGUAAUUCUCUCUCCAGUAGUCCUACUGAAUUCAUUAGGACUACUGGGCGAGUAAGGGUUUAUAGGACGUAAUUUUAAAGUAAGGUAUUUUUGUUGCUCAAAAGAAAAAACGAAGGUUGUUUUUGAGGCAGAGGACAUGGAAAAGAUUUCACAAUGUUAUCUCAAAACAACCAACGUAGAGGUAUUAUAUAAAAUGACCGGUCAGGUACUUAAAAUAUUGUAUAAAUACUGAAAAUGUUCAUAAAACUUUUAAGUUUGUAUAAUUAUAAUUAUACAGUUUGGCUUUA